UAAGGAAUAUUGGACAAUGGAGGCAACUCUGAUCCAGCCAUGCCGCGUGAAGGAAUAAGGCCCUAUGGGUUGUAAACUUCUUUUAGACGGGACAAAACCCCUUUACGUGUAAAGGGUUGAUGGUACUGUCAGAAUAAGCAUCGGCUAACUUCGUGCCAGCAGCCGCGGUAAUACGAAGGAUGCAAGCGUUAUCCGGAAUUAUUGGGUUUAAAGGGUGCGUAGGCGGACUAAUAAGUCAGUGGUGAAAGCCUGCAGCUUAACUGCAGAAUUGCCAUUGAUACUGUUAGUCUUGAGUACAGUUGAGGUAGGCGGAAUGUGUCAUGUAGCGGUGAAAUGCUUAGAUAUGACACAGAACACCGAUUGCGAAGGCAGCUUGCUAAGCUGUAACUGACGCUGAGGCACGAAAGCGUAGGGAGCAAA
rnacentral:rRNA from 1 species